ensembl:lncRNA
AGUUUCAGAGAUGGAGAAGUCAAAAAGCUAAACAGAGAAGGAAAAAAAAGAAAGACACCAAAGGACCUGGACCAGUCCGAAUGGAAGCAUUAGCUGGACCACUGGAGCUGAGGUAUUCUGAGAUCAUCCUGCCCAUGGCAUGGAGCAUCGGGAAACAGGGAUUCUCAUCUCCAUGCUGGAACUGCAGCACGGCGAAGAAUUUGCAGUAUGGCAAAGAAGAGUCUGCCAUCUAAACAUCCAGGGCCAAUGCACAUGGCAUGGGAAAGAGCUCAACUAUUCUUAGUGACGCUUCUGGCAACCUCACUGAACUUGUUUCUCACUUUACUGCUUCUUAUCCUUUUUUAAACAGUAAAACCAUCACAGCUGUCAGCUGGGAGGAUGAUAGUGCCUUGGGAGUGGGAAGCAGUUAUUGCUAUUCCUUUCUCUUUGCAUGAAGAAAAGAUGGGAGAACGCGGCCUGAGAAGUGUUUGAUUUGAGGAGCCUCACUCAACCUUGAGAUGUAUCGUGAGGGCAAUUUUCAGUUUGCAUCACUUGCAGAGUCAUUGCUAAAUACUGCAGGACCUGGGCAUGCACGAAUGCUGGGUGUGAUGGAGGAGGAGGAGGGAGUGGUGACCAAACCACUUUGUGAGAUCCAUCUAGAGAAGACAAGAUCCUUGAGAAAGACUGUGGUAAAACAAAGCUGAGACUUAUAGGAGGGAUGGCCUGUGCUGCCAAGUUCCUGCUUUGCUACUCUGAAAUGAAGAGCACAGGUGCAGAACUGAGUGUCCAUAAGGUACAGGCUUUGUUCAGGAGGCAAACUGAGCAUCUCCACUUAAUGUGUGCAUGCCAGAGGGUGAGUGGAACCCCUUGUGCAGUGUGGAUGGCUUUGUGGCAGCCCAUAGGGGCAACAGUGAGCAAGUGCAGCAGUGGACUGAGCAUAGCACCCUGAGCAGCCUCGUUCCAUCAGAAGCAGAGCACUGCUUUGAGUGUGGCACAAACAUGCUGCUUGCCUGAGUUCCUGUAAACACCAGUUGCAAUGCUAGAUGUGAGUGUAUGGGAGAGAAAUGGUUUUUAGUGGGCUAUCUUGAGCAACUCUUAGUGAAAGAUUUGGAUUUCCACUUGGUGCUAGCUGAUGUAGUUUCAGCUGCCCACCUGCUGCUUUCUUCCUGACAGUUGGCUUGUCUCCUAUGUUUGUAUAUGUGCUGCAGCAUGGGCACUGUGGAGCACAGUGUGCUAUCAAGUGCCUGCGGCAGUGGAGUCCUGAGCUGAGCAGCCUGAGCUGCUACAAAAGCAGCAUUGCCCAGUGCAGUGCCUUCUGAUGGCAAAAUCCUCACUGUUGGUCUGAAAUACACAUAGGUUUAUGUUGGGCUUUGAUGAUCCAGCUGUAAAUCCAGAGUAGGCAGCUGAAGUCUGACCUCAGUCAAGUUGCCCGGCAUGCUCCAGCUGGGCUGAAGUUGACUCACUUGGUGCUGUACAGUAUUUGUGUUCCAUGAAACAAGGAUCCCCCUCAUUGAUUUGAGCCUUUCCAGGGACUUGAGGUUGUUAAGCUGGUAAGACUUUCCUCCUUUUCCACUGCUACUCAUUGAGGAUGACCUUCUCACCAUCCCUUUUGACUUUGAGCUUGCUGCUUCUCUCAAGUCCUCUUCUGACCCUCUGCAAGCCAAGAACAGCAUGUUUGUAUUGCCGUAGUGCUUAUAAGCUGUUCUCACAGGUUGUUCUAUCUCUCUCUAAGCUUUCAGUACUCACUUCUCCUGCCAGUGUCUUGUGUAACUCUCCCUAUGCCAACACUGUUGGCUUCCAUGGGUAAAUUUCCUUAUGUUGGAUAAUUUGGAAUGAGCUUAUGACAGAAAAAUCUCACUCUAAAAUGCACUUUACUCCUGCAUCGCCUUUCAUUUGAUCCUGUGGCUGAUGGGCUUUGCUGGGUUGAAAGUCAUGCUGUUGGCAUGUGUUUUUAUUUGCAAAUUAAGGCUAUCCUGCACUCAAACAAGACUUUUUCAUUUAAUGUGUAUGAGCAGGAGGCACUCAGGCUGCAAGCAGUUUCUGUAUUUCAGCUUCCAGGUCAGUGAGUUUUUUGUCUCAUUUGUGUCAGCAGACAAUAGCCCUUUGUUCAGCAGCAUAACCUUUUCUGCCUCAGUGACACGCGCACACACACACAUAUGUGAUGCAGAUCCUGAAUUGUGCAAUAAACUCCAUGGAUAAGCUCCAUAAGC